CCCGCCCUCCUCCUCCCCCUCCGCUGCCACAACAACGACGACGACAGCCGCUGGGUGUCUCCGCUCCGCAGCUCCCGCUGCACACACGGGAGAGAGAGGCCAGUGUGGGCCGGCCCGUGUUCUUCCGGAAAAGAGAGGGUGCGUGGAACACGGGACACAUCUCGGGUCGGCGGCUGAUCCCGCCACACGUCCAGCCCGUUGCGGAUGCACGUCUGUCCGGCGGCGUGUCGGCUGUGGGGGCCAGAGGGAAUCCUCGACGGGCGCCGUGCGUGUGUGCGCGCGCUGCGUCCGAGCGGGACACCCCUCCCGAUUCCCCUCGACCGACUGGAGCACAGCGCAGGGGCUCGAACGCGCCCGAGCGCUCGUUGGGCUCCAGUGAGACCCUGAACACUGACCACCGGCUGACCCAGGCCCCGUUGAUGCUGGCAAACCCCGGGUAUUCUCCCUGCCACCUGCUCCUGCACCGUGCCCACCCUCCCACAGGCCAUGGCCACGAGCAGCGACCCUGACCGUGAGAGGCGGGAGCCCGACUCUGCAAAACAUGCUGGCAGUCUCGCGGACGUCAUGGCUGCCAUGACGACGAAAGAUUCAGACGACUCGACUGCCAACGGCGUGAGGAAUGGUGGGGCUCAGCAGGACGGAGCCCAGGCCAAGAGGACCCAUCCGGCGCGGCCUCACCUGACUGGGAGGAAGUUGUCGCUGCAGGAGAGGGGCACUUACCUGUCAUCAGGCACCGGAGGAGGCUACACACACAACUCCCCCCGUGUGGCUCGCAGGCCCACUGUGGAGUCUAAGCGUGUAUCCAUAUCCGACUCUCAGGACUGUAUCCAGCUGAACCAGUACAAGCUGAAGAGUGAGAUUGGAAAGGGCUCCUACGGUGUGGUCAAGCUUGCCUACAACGAGGACGACGAUAAACAUUAUGCCAUGAAGGUCGUGUCCAAGAAGAAGUUAAUGAAGCAGUGCGGUUUUCCACGUCGCCCACCCCCAAGGGGACCCAAGGCAGCCCAAGGGGAGCAGCCGAAAAUCUUAGGACCCUUGGAGAGGGUAUACCAAGAGAUAGCCAUCCUUAAAAAACUGGACCACAUCAACAUUGUCAAGCUGGUGGAGGUGCUGGAUGAUCCCACAGAGGACAGCCUUCACAUGGUGUUUGAGCUGAUGCCUAAGGGUCCAGUGAUGGAAGUGCCCACAGACGAUGCUUUUUCCGAGGAGCAGGCGAGGUUAUACUUCAGAGACGUCAUCCUGGGCAUGGAGUACUUGCACUAUCAUAAGAUUGUCCACCGGGACAUCAAGCCCUCUAACUUGUUGCUGGGGGAUGAUGGCCACGUGAAGAUAGCGGACUUCGGGGUCAGCAACCAGUUUGAGGGCAACGAUGCUUUGCUGUCCAGCACAGCUGGUACUCCAGCCUUUAUGGCCCCAGAGACACUGUCAGAUCAGCGCAAGAGCUUCAGUGGAAAAGCUCUGGACGUGUGGGCCAUGGGAGUUACACUCUACUGUUUCGUCUUUGGAAAGUGCCCAUUUAUUGACGAGUACAUAUUGGCUUUGCACAAUAAGAUAAGGAGCAAGCCUGUGGAUUUCCCAGAAGCACCAAAGAUCAGUGAGGAGCUGCGAACUCUGAUCUUGCGGAUGCUGGACAAGAACCCAGACAUCCGGAUCACCAUCCCAGAGAUCAAGACGGACCAGUGGGUGACCCGGGGAGGCGCCGACCCCUUGCCUUUGGAGGAGGAGCACUGCUCUGUGGUGGAGGUGACGGAAGAGGACAUCCAGAACUCGGUCAAGUUUGUCCCCAGCCUCUCUGCAGUGAUCCUGGUGAAGGCCAUGCUGAGGAAGCGCUCCUUCGGUAACCCCUUCGAAUGCCCGAGCAGGAGAGAGGAGAGGUCCAUGUCUGCGCCCGGCAGCCUGCUUAUCUUUGAAUGAUAGGAGGGUUCAGAGUGACAAAGAAACGACACAGAUUCACCAGAGCCUCUGGCUGACCUUGGAUUUUCUGUCACAUGGAUUGAAAUCGCCGGUCCUAUCCCAUCAUGCUGUUUUCACAUGUACAGUCCAGGGCAGAUCGGGGCAGCUAUAGCCGUCACCUGCGGUACUGCGGGCGCCCUUGGGACACUAAUCCACGAUUAGUGUGCAUAAAGAUGGACUACUGUAGAGCACACCCUAAUCUCCCAUUGUUAGUUGUUUUUUUAUUCUUUUGAUAAUUUCUUCUCCAUCUAGGUCGAGGUUUCCCCUGUUACAGUCGAGCUAGUCAGACCUGAUGACUGCUGUCUAUGGUAAAGGUGUCUUCAGAGGACAUGUGUGGAGCAACACUGCCCCCUGUUGGAAAAUGAAGAAAAACAACAAGACCUUACUAGGAUUAGCAUGCAGUUUCCCUCUUGUGACAGGAAGCACCUGUGUUUUAUUGGUAAUGUGGUCUUAACUGUGAGAAACGGCACUGUGAGACUGCGGGUGCGGUCGAAUUGUCCUUCCUAUCUACUGUUCCUUGACCUCAGUGGAAAACGUCAUGAGGUCAAGGAAAGGGAGUGACCAGAUUAACUCUGCGGAUGGUGAUUAUUGUUUUAUAGUGAUGAAGGGGAUUCUCUAGGGUUACCAUAAAGUCACACAUUUUAAAGAGAAUGCUCAGCUGAUUCUUAGAUAGCCUGACUUUUAAUGCACAGAAAUGAUCGCAUAUCAAGUUAGAAUUCCCCCCUGCAUGCCUGAAGCACCCACCUUCAGUUGUAAGGCUCAUUCCUUUUUAAAAACCUUUGUGUUUUACUCUCCCUGAUGAGUAAAUUGGCGUCUUUUUACUAUUGCUCAAUUUAUCUGAGCAGUCGAAAAAACAGUCCGGCAAAUUUUUCUCAUUGUUGGUUGGCACCAACACUGAAAUAUAGAAAUGACCUUUGUACCUUCAUCUUGAGCUGGUUAAGUAUGGAUGUGGCGAGGUCGUCCAUGCCCUUCGACCUCCCGGGGGUGACCUUUGCCCUCUCACCUGUGACUUUUCCAUCUUCUCUCCCACUCUGCUGCAGGGACUCGUGGCCUUUCCGGCCCUCUUUAAAACUCCACCCCUCUCUCAGAAAGGGCAGCACGGGAGAUGGGCCCAGAGAAGGAGAGCUGGAGGACCUGCAUGAAGACGAGCCCUCCUCUUGAGUCUCCCGUCGACGGAACUCUUUACAUCCCCUUUUCUUGAACCACUGUGCGCUCACCUCUCACAUACAAGCUCGAUUUCAUUUUUCUUUUCUUAUCCCAGUUUCCUCCUUCACUGUGGAGUUUCUGGGCUCUUGAGUUUGAUCUGCAAGGUUGAUUGUCUCACCCAGCUCAACCGCCCGCUCCUGUCAGAGUCAUCGAUGAACCGAUAAGAGGAACUUUGCCAGUUUUCUGGAUCAAGCAGGAAAAGACGAUGAAAAGAAAAUGCUUGCAUUACACUGUUUUGUGGAGGGCAAUCUGUUUUUUUUACAGUAUGCAUGGUGAAUAGUUUUGCCCCAUCAUCAGGCUGUUCCCAGCCACCUGUCACGGUCACAAACAGCCCGAUGAAGAUGAAAAGAAACUCCUCUUCCACACGUGUAAAUGACACUAUAUUGUCUCUUCAGCAAAGUGCAGGGCUUUUGAUUUUCAUUUUAAUGUUGCACCUAGAUGUCUUGAAGUAACUCCAGUUUUCUCGUCUCACAGCCGUGUUGUGUAUUCGCUACCUUUUAUUUUGACGCAAGGUUGUAAAGGUGGAACUCCUUCCGUGCUGCCUUCACAGUCCUGUUUAAACCUGUCCUACAGGAAGGAAAUGAUGUCAGCUGUCUGAGGGUGAUCCCGCAGAACAGGCCGAGACUCCGCUUGAACACACUUAAACAUGAUGUUUCCCACAGUGUAAUGUGUAAUUUCUUAUUAUUAUUAUUAAUAUUUCAGGAGUAAUUUCACGCACCUUCUCCAACUGUUGUUUCGCGGGAUGCAUUUGGUUCUAACACUGUCUCUUCCCACCUAUAUCACACUGUGCUGUUUGAUGUAAAGUCGUUGUGGAAGGGUGGAGGGUUUUGAAGUCCACGUUGCUUGAGGACUGAAAAAAAAAAAAAAAGAAUUAGAAACUAGUUAUCUACUUUUCAAGAGAGCUCUGUUGCCGAUGAAAGUAAAUCAACUUUUGCAACAUCGUCCGGGCGAAGGGAUUGUAUAUUAAGGGUAGGACUCAGAAAGGAGGGAUGGUUGUGUGUGUUGUCUUUUUGUCGAUGGCUGGGUAGUCAAACUUGUAUACGAGAGCAGAGGAGGGUCCUUUAAUUUUCAACACCCCAAAUUUAUAUUUCAGUAUUCCUUUGUUGGAUUGAUUAUAUCAGAUCCAAUCAAAUAUUCCCAAAUGAUGGCUCUGGUGUUUGCAGGUCCUCAAGUCCAUUAAAGUGUGAAGGACAUCAAUCUGGAAUUAUUGUUAAGGAAUUAUCAGUCCAUAAAUAUAUUAAGGUUUGAAACGCAUCACCAACAUAAAGUCUUUAUUCUUGCAUUUUUAUUAGUGGUUGAACAAGUCGUACCAAUACAGAAUGUUGGGGGAACGCAGGGUUUUUUCCAUGUAGGUUUUCAUCCAAAUAACAAUGUCAUUUUUGAAGUCAUUUUUGCACAGUCCUUAAUCGCUUUGCCUGGUUCACCUUUUGAAGUUUUCGACAAGCCGUGCUAGCUGAUAGAGCUCUGAUGUUCAAACCUUAAAAAAAAAACAACAACAAUUUUGUCAGUUGCUUUGUCUAAGCCGACUCAACUCGACGAGAACAUUUCUGCCCCCACAGCAGCUCUGUGCCUCAGAUAAACCUUUAUAUAACUCCAUCCGCCCCCUUUUUGUUGGCCCGGCUGGCACGCUGCCCCCGUGGAAAAAAACAAACGUGUUUGAGUGCUCUGAUCACUCGAACCAUAGUGAUAAAAAAGGAGCAUUUCGAUGUCAUGAUUGUGCCCCGGCCGCCAAAAACAUCAACAACAACAGCAGCAGAUCCCCGUCCACGUCCGUGCCGUCCCCAGUGUGGCUGACCAGAAACGGGGAGUGCAGUGCUCUGCACUUCCUUUGUUAGUCUUGUCCUUGGCAUCCUCCAGGAGAAGGACAGUGGUGCUAUCCGAAUGGGAAAAGUAUUUAACAUGUUGCUACUGAGCACCUAAUGUUCACAGAGGCAUAAUGCACAUAAGAAUCAAUAAUGAUUAUUAUCACGUGGGUUCUGAAGAAUGUCGAUCUUUUAAAUCUUUAUUUUUUUUAUAUUAUUGUUCAGGGAAACGGUUGGUAACAGAUCUGUUUCUAUAGGAUUGAUGUAUGCAUUUUUUUGUAAGGAUUGACUAUCUUUGUCUAUUAUGUCCUUUGUGUGACCUUGUGUGCACGGGUUGUGUUUCUCUUUGGUUUUGGUUCCCCGUCUGUGCGGAGGAUCAGGGAGCAGUGAGAGACAGUAGUAAGGCACUGAAGUCUGUUUGCAGAGUAACCUUCAAUGAAGGGCUGGUUGAACCAAAAAGUAUGGAACGCCGUGUUCAGUUUUAUUUGCUUUAAUGCCGUGUGACACUCGCUCUUUUAUCAUUUCUAACCUUUCUAAGAAUUUCUUUUUAUUAUAGACGUUGCCAGCUUUACAUUUGUGUGUUUGUACAGACAUUUUGUCAGUGUCGGAGGUGCAAUAUUACUGUCGUCUUAAUCAUCUGUGCAUUGUUGGCUCAUGCAUCAUCCUUGUGUGCAUGUUUUUAGGUUGUCCCUGUUCAAAAUUAAAAGCUAAAACAUUGCCUAUAUUUAAAUGUUUGCACUUUUCCCCACACACAGAUACAUAUUGAAAUCAUGGUGAUUACAGUUAACAUUAUUGGGCAUGACAGCCAUGACGCAUUGCGCAGUCAAUGAUCAAGACAAACCUGUGGUUCACCUGUAAAAGACCACGUUUACUGUGUAUCGGUACGUCGGGUCACUAAAAUCCUGUGCUUGUUUGACGCGUCACUCUUUGCUAUCGAUCUGCAUGUCACAGCGCAGAUGCAACUCAAAUAUAUUUCCAUGACGUCUUCUCCUGCCUGCGUUGAAAUGCUGUAACAGCUGAAUGGUUUUCAACAGCUGAUUUUGGUGUGCAUAUUUAUAUGAUGACAGAAUUGUGAAUUGUUGUAUAACUGGGUCGGGGGACCGCUCUGGGUUUUUACUGCUGAACUCAUGCAUAACGCUAAAACACUGUAAAUCCCAUCGUUGGCCGGGUUCGAGGCACAGGAGCAGCUCAGUACUUCCUCAUACGCCUGACAAUUAUUCAACAGUUUAAUGUUGUUUUUUUUAUUUUAUCUGAAAGGUGCAGAGUACACGAUUGAAGAUUUAAGAUUUCCUGGCCACACCCAUUUCUCCAUAGAGAUGUCCCACCUUUUUUUUUUCUUCUUCCUCAAAACCACUCUUGCUACAUUUUUUCCCCACUAAAUUGUACAUAUCUGAUUGAACCUGAGGUGUUCUUUAAGCAACACAAAAUUUCUCUGACAUUAUUUUCACACCAGUAGAACGUAUGAUGCAGUCGCAACUACUUCUAGAUGACUUGUACAUGUAGUUUGCGCUGUAACAAUCAGCCGAUUGAACCUGCUCACUGGUCAUUUAUGAUUUAAAACGUGGCACACAUCUUGGAUGAUCCUCGAAACUCCAUUGAAUUGUCCAUCACUAUUUGUUGCAGGAAACUGAAUGCAGAAUACAGGCUUUAAAUGUAGUGGUUUGUGCAGCCUUAGUAGAGGUGGCCCCCUCCUUGAAAGAUUCUCUCUGGCUUUGUGCCAUUACAGCAGUGAAAACAAACAAAUGAUCAGCGGGUGCAGAUGCAGCACAAGAAGUGAGUGACAGGAUUCACUUCUCAUGACUCCGGGUCAUUAUUGUAUCCACAGGAGGACGACUGUGGGAGAGCGAGUGUGUACAUGGUGUGAAGUCCGGCACGACUCCCGAUCGCUGCUGCGUACCUUAUGUAACCGUCCCGAUGUGUGUGUUGAAGGUGCCUCUCGUGUUUGUGGGUGUUUCCGGUCUCGUGUUAUCUCGUGUGUUUUCUCUGAAUGUACUCGCUCGCCUGCACAGGUCGCUCAUAUGAAAACAGACGCAUGGCACAUCCCUACGGAAUGCAGUUGUUACAGUGUAAAUAUGUACCAAAAACAUAUAAAGAGCCUAUUUUCUGCAUGCUUUUUGUACACUUAACACAUAAUCAGAGACAAUAAAAAUGAAAAUGAAAAAAAUC